rnacentral:rRNA from 1 species
AUUAAACGCUGGCGGCAUGCCUUACACAUGCAAGUCGAACGGCAGCACGGGGCAACCUGGUGGCGAGUGGCGAACGGGUGAGUAAUGCAUCGGAACGUGCCGUGUAGUGGGGGAUAACGUAGCGAAAGUUACGCUAAUACCGCAUACGCCCCGAGGGGGAAAGUGGGGGACCGCAAGGCCUCACGCUAUACGAGCGGCCGAUGUCGGAUUAGCUAGUUGGUGGGGUAAAGGCCUACCAAGGCGACGAUCCGUAGCGGGUCUGAGAGGAUGAUCCGCCACACUGGGACUGAGACACGGCCCAGACUCCUACGGGAGGCAGCAGUGGGGAAUUUUGGACAAUGGGGGCAACCCUGAUCCAGCCAUUCCGCGUGAGUGAAGAAGGCCUUCGGGUUGUAAAGCUCUUUCAGCUGGAACGAAACGGUGCGCUCUAACAUAGCGCGCUAAUGACGGUACCGGCAGAAGAAGCACCGGCUAACUACGUGCCAGCAGCCGCGGUAAAACUACGUAGA